UCCAUGUGGACAGCAUGUGUGCUCAGACAGACCUCAGUGUCAGGACCGUGGCAUUCUACCCCACUGCCCUCCCUCCGGACGUCCGCGGACAACGCGGCUACUCACCGUCCAGGUGGCUGACUUGGCUGUGCUCGACUGCUGGAAGGGUUGGCAGCUCCUCCAAGCAUCCUUGCUGGUUCUCUAGGAAAGCCCAACAGCCCAGUCCUUCCUCCAAAUCAACUCAGUAUCAACCUGAGGAUUACCCAGUCUACAUCCGAAGGCAUCAAGCAGGAAGGAUUUGGGAAGACAGUACCAAUGCCAGUGUGGGUCCCUGAGUUGCUUAACUGAUCCUCUCUGUGCUGGUGAUCUUUCCUGCAAACUCAGCUGGACUUCUGCAGGCCUAAGAACCCAAGAUCUUCACGUGACCGCUCUGUCUCAGUUUACACCGGGGUGAUGUAAGGUGAUGAUACCGAGGAAUUCACAAGUCAAUACACACAGAGAAACAGGAACAGAUUACGAUGGCACACGACGCCACAGAAGUGUUGGAUACUGACGAGGCUCCCUCCAUACUCGGCCAUCUCAGAGAGGCAUAGGCACCAGGCUCUGCUGCUGCUUUGCUUCAGAGGACCCCACACUGAAGCCUCCAGAUCCCCACAGACAAAGAACCAAAGUCCACACACCAAAGUUACCAAUCAGUCCCUGAUCCACAGCCUCCAGUCAAGGGCUUGGCUGUCUGCCAAGGGCACUCAAGCAUCUCUGUGUCCUGGAUCCAACAUGCCUUGCACCCAAGCAUCUCCAUACCCUGGAUUCAGCAUGCCUUUUUGGGAAGGAACCUUCCUUCAUGCUUCUUUCCUUGCAGCCUCAUGCUGAGCCCACAGCUACUCUGAUAGUCCACCUGGUCCAGCUAAUUCCUUUCUCAGCCAGACUCACAGGGAUGAUGCCAAGGACCCAAUACACAGCAGCAAGCUGCAGCUGCAGCCUUCGGGUCAGAGUUCUUACCCUGCUCCCCGAAGUUUUGCUAUGCAUGGAGGGGAACAUUGUUUCAUAGACCACACAGGACAACUGGAGAGUCUGGUUCACAACCCCACCCAAGUCCACUGUGGCCUCAGUAGGAGAGGACCUUGUCUAGGUUCUACCUUCUUCCCUUCUCCCCUCCACUCUUCCUCCCUUCUUUCCGUCACUUCCUUCCCUCCUUCCCUUCCUCCUCUCUCCAUCACUUCCUCCCUCCUUCCUUUCUUCUCUCCUUACCUUCCUCCCCCUUU